CUCUCCUCCCUGCUUCCCUGGGUUAGUUUUCCUCUGGAAAAUCAUAUGGGGUCUCACCAUGUUGCCCAAGCUGGUCUUGAACUCCUGGUACAAGCGAUCCUCCUGCCUCAGCCUCUGGAGCAGCAGGGACUACGGGCGCACACCACCACACCUGGCCGUAUACAUCACAUGUUGUUUAUACAUUCGUCUAUCGAUGGACAUGGGCAUCACCUCCACCUUUUUAGGCUGGUCACUGCAGCCUAAAUUCUGUUUAAUUCUGUUUUUAAUUUUAAUUCUGCUCCUCUGAGAUGAGCCAGCUUGUGCAUGAAGCAAGGCUUGAAGGAGAACACGGCUGCAUGGAUCGCUGGGCCACUGGACUGAGGUGCUUUGAAGGUGGCAAUCCACGAACCUUUGGAUUUGUGGAUCUGUGGAUCUGUGAAGCAAUGAGUUUCUUCAUUGUUGAAUUGAGGUUUAGGUCUCUUACAGCUAUGAGCCGCCUAGAUGAUGCAUCUUCCGAGAAGUUGCCCAGUUUCAAAAAUUACAGAAGAAAACAAAAAUGAACAGAACCACAGAGAAGUGGGAAUUAUUUUGCUGAUGUGAAUGCUG
rnacentral:lncRNA from 1 species